UACGAGUGCCCCAAGCGUUUUUUUUUUUUUUUUUUUUUUAGCCGGAAUCAUUGGGCGUAAAGGGUGUGUAGGCGGUUGUGUUAGUCUUUCUGUUAAAUUUCUUCGGCUUAACCGGGGUCUGCAGAGGAAACGGCACAACUAGAGGAUGCGAGAGGUGAAUGGAACUCAUGGAGUAGGGUGAAUCCGUUGAUAUCAUGGGAACACCAAAAGCGAAGGCAAUUCACUGGCGCACUCCUGACGCUGAGACACGAAAGCGUGGGAGCGAACAGG
rnacentral:rRNA from 1 species